rnacentral:lncRNA from 1 species
CUGGAUUGAGAGACAUAAACAGAUAUUCCUGGAUUCGGAGGCAUAAACAGAUGUUCAUGGAUUGAGAGGCGUAAACCCAUAUUCCUGGAUUGAGAGGCGUAAGCAGAUGUUUAUGGUUUGAGAGGCGUAAACAGAUGUUCCUGGAUUGAGAGGCGUAAACCCAUAUUCCUGGAUUGGGAGGCGUAAACAGAUGUUCAUGGAUUGAGAGGCAUAAACAGAUGUUCCUGGAUUGAGAGACGUAAACAGAUGUUCAUGGAAUGGGAGGCGUAAACAGAUGUUCCUGUAUCGAGAGGCGUAAACAUAUGUUCCUGG